UUCACCCUAAUUUAGCACCUCCCUCUCCCGUGUCUUCAUUUCCCAAUCUUCAAAUUUUCGCAAGCCCUAAAUCGUGUAUCCAUAAGCUUCUUUCUACUGAGAUUUUCCCGCAAGCUGUACCCGCAAGCUUCUUUUUUCUGCUAUGAUUCUUCAAACAAAGGCUCUUAUUGUUCGUGGAGCUCUUCGGUUUGGGUUCGUCUUUGUCUUCCGUUGCUUAGGAACAAAAACCUGGUGCAUUUCUGGGUUGAACGAGUUCGACCGUCAAUGUAUUGUUCGUCGAAGGUCCUGGUGCCUCCAAUCGAGGGGCUCUAGCGUGUGUUCGCUCCCACACCGACCAUCAAGUAAUGUGGUCAAGCUUCGCUCUCUCUGCUUUUGCCUCUCUGAGAUGUUUUUGUCAUGUCCAAGGUAUAAUAAUUUGUUACAAAAUAAUCCUAUCAUAGUGAAAUUGAUUCCUGCAAUUGGCGUUAUCAAUUUUGCAAUAUAGGGUGUUGGUCCAUUAUUGUUCCAGACAAGGAAAAUACUCUUCCAGAGGAGUGAUAAUAGUUGGAAGAAAAGUACCACUGACUUUAUAGUAACUUCUUACCUUCCGCCAUUACUGUUAUGGACUGGAGCAAUACUUAUUUGCAGAGCAUUGGAGCCAUUAAUUCUACCUUCAGAACCUGAUCAGGUUGUUAAGGACCGGCUUCUGAAUUUUGUGAGAUCAUUAUCAACGGUUCUGGCCUUUGCCUAUUGUUUAUCAAGG